rnacentral:rRNA from 1 species
GAUGAACGCUGGCGGCGUGCCUAAUACAUGCAAGUCGAACGCUGGAAAUCUAGCUUGCUCGAUUGAAGGAGUGGCGAACGGGUGAGUAAUACAUAAGCAACCUACCCACGAAGGCUGGGAUAAUCUCUGGAAACGGGGACUAAUACCGGAUAGGUAGUCGGAAGGCAUCUUCUGAUUAUUAAAGGUUAAAAACACUGGUGGAUGGGCUUAUGGCGCAUUAGUUAGUUGGUGAGGUAACGGCCCACCAAGACGAUGAUGCGUAGCCGGCCUGAGAGGGUGAACGGCCACAUUGGGACUGAGACACGGCCCAGACUCCUACGGGAGGCAGCAGUAGGGAAUUUUCGGCAAUGGGGGAAACCCUGACCGAGCAACGCCGCGUGAGUGAUGACGGCCUUCGGGUUGUAAAGCUCUGUUGUAAGGGAAGAACGGUAGAUAGAGAAUAUCUAAAUGACGGUACCUUACCAGAAAGCCACGGCUAACUACGUG